GUGAACAAUGGUUGUGUGAGUAGGUGAAGAGCCUGAGAAGUUUUAAUUGUCUGCUACACAAACAGUUGUUUUAAACCUCUACAGCAGAGGUUCGAGUAGUGAUUUUUACAAGAUAAGCCAAGAUAAGCCAGGUGUGCAGCAAACACAGUUGUCUGCUGGAGAUCAGAUUAAUAAGAAGAGCAACAACAACAAGAAGCACAGCAGAAACUGACAGACCAACUAUCAGUCGAACAGAUCCGUCCUCCUUCCCUCCGUCCUCCUUCUCUCCAGCCUCCUUCCCUCCAGCCUCCUUCUCUCCAGCC